rnacentral:rRNA from 1 species
UGGGGAAUUUUGCGCAAUGGGCGAAAGCCUGACGCAGCAACGCCGCGUGAGUGAUGAAGGCCCUCGGGUCGUAAAGCUCUGUCAGAGGGGAAGAAACUUUUGGGGGAGAAUAUCCCUUGAAACUGACGGUACCCUCAAAGGAAGCACCGGCUAACUCCGUG